rnacentral:rRNA from 1 species
CAGCAGCCACGGUAAUACGUAGGGUGCAAGCGUUAAUCGGAAUUACUGGGCGUAAAGCGUGCGCAGGCGGUUUGUUAAGACAGAUGUGAAGUCCCCGGGCUCAAUCUGGGAACUGCAUUUGUGACUGGCAAGCUAGAGUGUGGCAGAGGGGGGUGGAAUUCCGCGUGUAGCAGUGAAAUGCGUAGAUAUGCGGAGGAACACCGAUGGCGAAGGCAGCCCCCUGGGCCAACACUGACGCUCAUGCACGAAAGCGUGGGGAGCAAACAGGAUUAGAUACCCGUGUAGUCCCUGUCUCUUAUAA